rnacentral:rRNA from 1 species
GUGGGGAAUCUUGCGCAAUGGGCGAAAGCCUGACGCAGCCAUGCCGCGUGAAUGAUGAAGGUCUUAGGAUUGUAAAAUUCUUUCACCGGGGACGAUAAUGACGGUACCCGGAGAAGAAGCUCCGGCUAACUUCGUGCCAGCAGCCGCGGUAAUACGAAGGGGGCUAGCGUUGCUCGGAAUUACUGGGCGUAAAGGGCGCGUAGGCGGACAGCUUAGUCAGAGGUGAAAGCCCAGGGCUCAACCUUGGAAUUGCCUUUGAUACUGGCUGUCUUGAGUUUGGGAGAGGUGAGUGGAACUCCGAGUGUAGAGGUGAAAUUCGUAGAUAUUCGGAAGAACACCAGUGGCGAAGGCGACUACCUGGACUGAUACUGACACUGAGGUGCGAAAGCGUGGGGAGCAAACAGGAUUAGAUACCCGUGUAGUCC